UACGUAGGGCGCAAGCGUUGUCCGGAAUUAUUGGGCGUAAAGAGCUCGUAGGCGGCUUGUCACGUCGGGGGUGAAAGCCCGGGGCUUAACUCCGGGUCUGCAUUCGAUACGGGCUAGCUAGAGUGUGGUAGGGGAGAUCGGAAUUCCUGGUGUAGCGGUGAAAUGCGCAGAUAUCAGGAGGAACACCGAUGGCGAAGGCGGAACUCUGGGCCAUUACUGACGCUGAGGAGCGAAAGCGUGGGGAGCGAACAGG
rnacentral:rRNA from 1 species